GUUGCUCGGAAUUACUGGGCGUAAAGCGUGCGUAGGUGGUUUGUUAAGUCUGUUGUGAAAGCCCCGGGCUCAACCUGGGAAUGGCGCGCGAGACGGGGGGGGCUGGAGUUCGGGAGAGGAGCGUGGAAUUCCCAGUGUAGAGGUGAAAUUCGUAGAUAUUGGGAAGAACACCGGUGGCGAAGGCGGCGCUCUGGACCGAGACUGACGCUGAGGCGCGGAAAGCGUGGGGAGCAAACAGGAUUGAGAA
rnacentral:rRNA from 1 species